UUGCUUCAGCAGCACAUAUACUAAACUGGAAUGAUACACAGAAGAUUAGCAUGGUCACUGAGAAAACAUGAUGUGCAAAUUCUUUAAGUGUUCCAUAUUUUC